GACGAACCGUGCAAACGUUGUUCGGAAUCACUGGGCUUAAAGGGCGCGUAGGCGGAUGAGCAAGUCUGUGGUGAAAUCCCCCGGCUUAACCGGGGAACUGCCGUGGAUACUGCCCAUCUUGAGGAAGAUAGGGGCGUCUGGAACUAGCGGUGGAGCGGUGAAAUGCGUUGAUAUCGCUAGGAACUCCGGUGGCGAAGGCGAGACGCUGGAUCUUUUCUGACGCUGAGGCGCGAAAGCCAGGGGAGCGAACGGG
rnacentral:rRNA from 2 species